CGUGAUCAGUAAAAAUUGUGUAUUUUCACGUGAAUUCAUUUUCCGGAAUUCCUUACUCCGUCAUAGAAUAGUCGAAAAACAAAAAGGGGUUCCGAAAGUGUUUUGUUGCUGUGACUGACUCGCCUACAGAAAAUAUGCACAUACCACAUAAGUAUACGUCAAUGUCUGUAAUAAUGGUAGAUCAAAUGUUUCAUCUGUGUGAAACUUAUUGCUAAUCGAAAUGUUAAACCCACCACCAAUCCAUGUACAUAGAUGCGCUACGUAAACAAAGUUGUUGAUUGAUGCAUCGUAAUGUCCGAGUGCUGCAUGCUGAGAGAUUAAAUACUGUUUAUACAGUCAUUGAGAGGCUAAACAAAGUUUCUUGCAAGAAGAGGAAGUUGGUGGAUGCAUUGAACUUGGACAACGAAAUCAUAGUUUCGUUUGGCAUCAGCCUGAAGACCGAGGGAGGUUAGAUAGGACCAGUGCAGGUUGAAGUGGAUUUCGAGUCAACAAGUAUAACAGCAAGGGAGGUACUCCAUUUACAGUGAUGAUGACAUAUCCCCUGGACCCCCACAACUCCACAAAUUUAAAAAUGUUUGAUCAAGUUCCGAAGAUUAAAGAACUACUGCAAAAUUUGGGACUGGAUGAAAAACAUUAAUUCACUUAUAUGAGCUCAGAGCAGUGGAUGUUAUACAACAUACUUUAAACUAAAUUGUGAAUUUAAGGGAAAACAAGUACAUGUACUCGUAUAUUACAAGUACAUGCCUUUUGAAAGACAAUAAUAUUGCAUAGAUGUAAAGGAAAUUUCAAUGUUGAUUAUUCUUUCUUAGAUAUAUUAGUAAAAAAUGUGCACAUGAUAGAAUAUCAAUUUUAUAACUUCAAUCAAUGUGUUUGAAUUUUCCUUGUAAUUCAAAAUUUAGUUGAAACAUACAUCAUAGAUACAUUAAUGUAUAUCAAAUUUUUAGAAAAGUUCAUAAUGGAACUAAUUCACCCCCCCCCCCCCCACCCCCCCUUAUACAUACAGUGAACAUAGACCUUCACCUGAGGAAAACUUCAGUUAGUUAAUGAAAUAUACAUGUACAUGCAUUCUCAGUUAUCCAAUAGUGAGUUUUUGGUUCCAUGUGAAACUACAAUUAGAAAUCUUAAACUUAUGAAAGACACACCUAUCUGUGAGGGUAAGAUGACUCAGAUGGACUUAAAUGUAGUGAUCCAUGGGCAGUCCAUGGGUCUCUUUCCAUUGAUAUUAAUUAUUUAUUGAAAUAUGAAAUGGUUAUUUAAACAUAUUUGGUGUAUUAUACUGUAUAGUGAUAUAAAUUUCUAUCAAAAAAUAUGUAUAGGUAAUAGAUUUGGUCCAGUUAUUACAAGAAAUUGUAUGAAAAAUAACUAAAUAUUUAGGCAAUCAUUGUGAGUGCGAAAAGGUCAACUGCAAUAGCACACACUAUAUGUCAUUCUUAAAUGGCUCAUAGAAACUUCUAGUAUUGUGAGUUUGAAUGCUCAAUAUGGUAAUUUGGGAAUGCUUAAUCAUUUAAGGUCAGUAGUUUAUCUCUGCUGACUGUAUCUCUUAAAAUUCAUUUCUAGAAGGGAGGGGGUAGGGUUACAAAAUCUGACAUAGUUUCAGAUUAAACCUCAUUUGGUAUAUUUUUUUCUAUUCAAUAUUUUAGAUACUACUUGACUUAUUGUAAAAAUGAAAUAAAAUCAGAAAUUUUAUGAGCAGAAUUUUGUUGUCAGAAAAUGUAUGCCUGAUAGUAUUUGAGAAACGCCAUAUUUAGGGUAAAUUUGGCCAAUUGCCAAGUCGAAUCAUGCCAAUGUUUUCCUUAGAUGCAUUUUGAAUUUCUAAUCCAUGUUGAUUUUUUAUCUGUUUGUGUUUAAUUUACAUAACUAUAUAUGACAAACAAUAUUUCUGGUGUCAAUAAAAUUUUUAUUGGC